UAGAGUUACAGCUCCUUUAGAACUUGUCUAGCGGGUUUUUUGAUUUUCUCUAGAAACCCCU
rnacentral:snRNA from 1 species